rnacentral:rRNA from 1 species
CAGCAGCCGCGGUAAUUCGUAGGGGGCUAGCGUUGUCCGGAUUUAUUGGGCGUAAAGAGCGUGUAGGCGGCCAGGUAGGUCUGCUGUGAAAACUCGAGGCUCAACCUCGAGACGUCGGCGGAAACCAUCUGGCUAGAGUCCGGAAGAGGAGAGUGGAAUUCCUGGUGUAGCGGUGAAAUGCGCAGAUAUCAGGAAGAACACCCGUGGCGAAGGCGGUUCUCUGGGCAUGUCCUGACGCUGAGGAGCGAAAGUGUGGGGAGCGAACAGGAUUAGAUACCCUGGUAGUCCACACCGUAAACGUUGGGCGCUAGGUGUGGGAUCCAUUCCACGGGUUCCGUGCCGCAGCUAACGCAUUAAGCGCCCCGCCUGGGGAGUACGGCCGCAAGGCUAAAACUCAAAGGAAUUGACGG